UGCAUCUGGGGCCAGUGAGGAUGAGAACCUCCGGGGGCAGGAGGUUCGACUCGAGCGAAGCGAGAGAACGUUGCGUCAGCAACGGCCCGCAGGGCGAG
rnacentral:sRNA from 1 species